rnacentral:rRNA from 1 species
UACGGAGGGUGCAAGCGUUGUCCGGAUUUAUUGGGUUUAAAGGGUGCGUAGGCGGCCUUAUAAGUCAGUGGUGAAAUACUCCAGCUUAACUGGAGGGGUGCCAUUGAUACUGCAAGGCUUGAGUGGAGUCGAGGUAGGCGGAAUUGACGGUGUAGCGGUGAAAUGCUUAGAUAUCGUCAAGAACACCGAUAGUGUAGACAGCUUACUAGGCUCAUACUGACGCUGAGGCACGAAAGUGUGGGGAUCAAACAGG